GAGGUGGGAGGGCGCCGAGCAGCCCCAAGCCUCCGGGAAGCGAGCCCCCUCAGCGGCGCUGCCGGCCGGCGGUUCAGCGGAAGGUAACCAGGUCACCCCCAAAGGGACGCCUCGAGCCUUCGCUGUCCCGGAGUCGGUGGCUGAGCGCAAGGUUAUGAAUGGUUGAAGUUCAGAGGAGAAGAAAUGAUCCAGUCAGCAUGGUGAAACAUGCUGUUUUCAGAGAAAACCCAAGAUCUAAAAGCAGCAGAAGUCCUCCAUUGGAUUUACAUGGAGCUAAGUACCUACCACAUGAGUAAGACCUGUUGAUGUUCAAGCAGAUAUGAGUUGAAGACAGGCAGUCAUUUCUGAAUUCAUGAGCAUAGGAGUUCAUUCACCAUGGACAUUGAAGACUGAGGGCUAAUAGGUGUUUUGAGCAUCCACAGUCGUGGAGAGUCAGAUGAUUUCUCGAUGGCAAAAGGAGAUCUGCAGAGAAACACAACAGUGA